GACGAACGCUGGCGGCGUGCUUAACACAUGCAAGUCGAACGGAAAGGCCCUGCCUUUGUGGGGUGCUCGAGUGGCGAACGGGUGAGUAACACGUGAGUAACCUGCCCUUGACUUUGGGAUAACUUCAGGAAACUGGGGCUAAUACCGGAUAGGAGCUCCUGCUGCAUGGUGGGGGUUGGAAAGUUUCGGCGGUUGGGGAUGGACUCGCGGCUUAUCAGCUUGUUGGUGGGGUAGUGGCUUACCAAGGCUUUGACGGGUAGCCGGCCUGAGAGGGUGACCGGCCACAUUGGGACUGAGAUACGGCCCAGACUCCUACGGGAGGCAGCAGUGGGGAAUAUUGCACAAUGGGCGGAAGCCUGAUGCAGCAACGCCGCGUGCGGGAUGACGGCCUUCGGGUUGUAAACCGCCUUCGCCUGUGACGAAGCGUGAGUGACGGUAAUGGGUAAAGAAGCACCGGCUAACUACGUG
rnacentral:rRNA from 1 species